rnacentral:rRNA from 1 species
UAAGGAAUAUUGGUCAAUGGACGCAAGUCUGAACCAGCCAUGCCGCGUGGAGGAUGAAGGUCCUCUGGAUUGUAAACUUCUUUUAUCUGGGAAGAAAUGGUUCUUUUCUAAGGAUCUUGACGGUACCAGAUGAAUAAGCACCGGCUAACUCCGUGCCAGCAGCCGCGGUAAUACGGAGGGUGCAAGCGUUAUCCGGAUUCACUGGGUUUAAAGGGUGCGUAGGCGGAAAAGUAAGUCCGUGGUGAAAUCUCCGAGCUUAACUCGGAAACUGCCGUGGAUACUAUUUUUCUUGAAUGUUGUGGAGGGUUGCGGAAUAUGUCAUGUAGCGGUGAAAUGCUUAGAUAUGACAUAGAACACCGAUUGCGAAGGCAGCAGGCUACACAAAUAUUGACGCUGAGGCACGAAAGCGUGGGGAUCAAACA